rnacentral:lncRNA from 1 species
UGUACAAAAGUAGUAUUUAUAGUCUGUACAAAAGCGUAACCUGAUGAAAGAGAAAACUAUAACUAAUCCUAAGAUUAAUUACUUCAACUAACUAAACUAAUUUUUGAAAAAUACACUUUAUUAAUUAAACACUGCAUUUGAUGCCUUUCACUGGUUCCUUCUUUAUUUUAAAUGAAACGGUGCGUCUUGAGUUUUCCUUGUCGUACUUAUGGCUUCCUCUUUCUCAUAGUCUCGAUCUCUCUUCUUCCUUCUCUUCUUGUUUCUAGUUCAGCCUUCAUCAGGGAUUCAACCAUUUAUGAUGUUCUUGGACUUAUUUUGCAGCUCACUUUAGAUAUGCCAUUUCAAGUCUCUAACCUGAUAAGCCAAAGACUUCCAUGGCAUUAAAACCCCGGUAUGGGAGUAAAGCGGUCAAUUUGAUUAUACAAAGUGAGUCAACCAAUAAAAAACAGAUGCUCGAAAACAACAUAUACAACAAGCCCUGUGACCAAGAGAAGGGUAUCAUAAAGGCCAGAGCAUCCAAAAAACAGAGGCCAAAACCUAUACAUUUACCAACCCUCAGCUGUGAUUGCAGCAAACAAAAAAUAAAGAAAGGACACAGCUCUAAUUUGCAAUUGGAAUUCCAAAGCGAUAAGGGACUGUAAAAAAGUAUGAAUGAAGCAAAAGCACACUGAAUGGCACCAUCACAAACAUCCCGGGCCAUCAGAAACCAUGAAAUCAGGGGCUCACUAGCGGAAAACACAAAAAAAAACCAUUAUCACCAAUCAACAAAGCCACGAGAUGUAGAUGACAAACCAGAGCCAGCAUCUUAACAUGAAAAGUAAACAAGAGAUCCAUCGCUCCAUCAGACCGUUCCACCAGCUUAAAAACUCAUUGGUUCACAGUGCACAAAUGCCAGCAUCAAAAUCUUUAGCAAAGGAAAAGAAAACAUCCCCGCAUCUAGAUAAGAAACAGAGGAAUUUCACUAUUGUUCUUCUACUUAUUGUACAUACAGAGAGCAACGUAACAUUGAUUGGGUAAAUUAUUGAGAGCAAAAGAUCACUUAAAAUACAAAAAUAAGGAUAAGAAAAAGGGGAAUUUCACUCUUCUUCUUCUACUUAUUGUUUGUAGAGAGAGCAACAUAACAUUGAUUGGGUAAAUUAUUGAAAACAAGGGAUCCCUUCGCUUGACAACUCCAUGAAGCAAAGUAAUUUCAACACCUUGUUUUUUUUAUAUAUAAAUAUAAUAAAGUUUAACGCAAGUGAACCACCCAAACUUGAUUAGGAAUAGGCAAACAAAAGAAAGAAAUAGAAAGCAAAAGCAGCCUUUGUUUUACCCGUGUUUUGUUGACAGCCUCAACUACUCAUUUAUUUUGCAACUUCCCCUGAAUCAUUCUUUCAUGUAAGGUGUUAGCUGAUCCCCUGUGCUUCGGGACCAAAAUAUGUUCUCGAAGUGAACUGCAUUUUGAGUAGUGGUAGAUCCUUCGGUGACGUCUUGCUCAACUUGUCGUGGUAUCCUUCAGAAAAAUUGAAAU